AUUCUUUUAGUAUUAAAAAGUACGGUUGACUUCCAAUCAGCUAGUUUCGGUAAACCCCGAAAAAGAAUA
rnacentral:tRNA from 4 species